rnacentral:rRNA from 1 species
UACGUAGGGGGCAAGCGUUGUCCGGAUUUAUUGGGCGUAAAGAGCGUGUAGGCGGUUAGGUAGGUCCGUUGUGAAACUCGAGGCUCAACCUCGAGACGCCGAUGGAAACCAUCUAACUAGAGUCCGGAAGAGGAGAGUGGAAUUCCUGGUGUAGCGGUGAAAUGACGCAGAUAUCAGGAAGAACACCCGUGGCUAAGGCGGCUCUCUAGUACGGUACUGACGCUGAGACGCGAAAGCGUGGGGAGCGAACAG